rnacentral:rRNA from 1 species
AGCGAACGCCGGCGGCAGGCCUAACACAUGCAAGUCGAACGAGGUCUUCGGACUUAGUGGCGGACGGGUGAGUAACACGUGGGAACGUACCUUUUGGUUCGGAACAACUCAGGGAAACUUGAGCUAAUACCGGAUGAGCCCUUAGGGGGAAAGAUUUAUCGCCGAAAGAGCGGCCCGCGUUAGAUUAGCUAGUUGGUGAGGUAAAGGCUCACCAAGGCUACGAUCUAUAGCUGGUCUGAGAGGAUGAUCAGCCACACUGGGACUGAGACACGGCCCUGACUCCUACGGGAGGCAGCAGUGGGGAAUCUUGCGCAAUGGGCGAAAGCCUGACGCAGCCAUGCCGCGUGAAUGAUGAAGGUCUUAGGAUUGUAAAAUUCUUUUACCAGGGACGAUAAUGACGGUACCUGGAGAAAAAGCCCCGGCUAACUUCGUGCCAGCCGCCGCCGUAA